CAUAGUGAAAGCGAGCCUUAAUAGGGCGUUAGUCACUGUUUACAGACCCGAACCCGGAUGAUCUAACCAUGGCCAGUGUGAAGCUUAGGUAACACUAAGUGGAGGCGCGAACCGACUGAUGUUGAAAAAUCAGCGGAUGAGCUGUGGUUAGGGGUGAAAUGCCAAUCGAAUCCGGAGCUAGCUGGUUCUCCCCGAAAUGCGUUUAGGCGCAGCGGUUAACGCUAUAGCUUAGGGGUAAAGCACUGUUUCGGUGCGGGCUGCUAACGCGGUACCAAAUCGAUGCAAACUCUGAAUACUAAGUGUGUAGUUAACCAGUAAGACUGUGGGGGAUAAGCUCCAUUGUCAAGAGGGAAACAGCCCAGACCACCAGCUAAGGCCCCCAAAUAAUUACUAAGUGGCAAAGGAUGUGGGAACACUGAGACAAUCAGGAGGUUCGCCUAGAAGCAGCUAUCCUUUAAAGAGUGCGUAAUAGCUCACUGAUCAAGUGCACCUGCGCCGAAAAUGACUGGGACUAAGUAAUUUGCCGAAGCUGUGGGAUUUUUAAAAAUCGGUAGGGGAGCGUUCCACCUUAGAUAGAAGCAUUAGCGUAAGCGGAUGUGGACGAAGUGGAAGUGAGAAUGUCGGCUUGAGUAGCGAAAACAUUGGUGAGAAUCCAAUGCCCCGAAAACCUAAGGUUUCCUCCGGAAGGCUCGUCCGCGGAGGGUGAGUCAGGACCUAAGGUGAGGCCGAAAGGCGUAACUAAUGGACAACGGGUUAAUAUUCCUGUACCGUUUAUUGUUGGUAUCGAGGGACGGAGAAGGCUAAACCAUCCGGAUGUUGGUUACCGGUUUAAGCGUCAAAGGUGUUGAUAAACGGAGAAAACGUUUUGAGCUAAGGCGCGAAUACUAGAUACUAAGGUAUCGAAGUGGUUGAUGUCAUACUUCCAAGAAAAGCUCGAAAUAUCAUAAACAAUAAACGCCUGUACCUUAAACCGACACAGGUAGGUAGGUAGAGUAUACCAAGGGGCGCGAGACAACUCUCUCUAAGGAACUCGGCAAAAUAAUCUCGUAACUUCGGAAGAAGAGGUACCCUCGCGAGAGGGUUGCAAUAACCAGACCCUGGCGACUGUUUACCAAAAACACAGGUCUCCGCAAAUUCGUAAGAUGACGUAUGGAGGCUGACGCCUGCCCAGUGCCGGAAGGUUAAAGAAGUCGGUCAAUCCUCGGAUGAAGCUGGCGACUGAAGCCCCGGUGAACGGCGGCCGUAACUAUAACGGUCCUAAGGUAGCGAAAUUCCUUGUCGGGUAAGUUCCGACCCGCACGAAAGGCGUAACGAUCAGGGUGCUGUCUCGGAGAGAGGCUCGGCGAAAUAGACAUGUCUGUGAAGAUGCGGACUACUGC
rnacentral:rRNA from 1 species